GACGAACGCUGGCGGCGUGCUUAACACAUGCAAGUCGAGCGGUAAGGCCCUUUCGGGGGUACGACGAGCGGCGAACGGGUGAGUAACACGUGGGUGACCUGCCCUCAGCUCUGGGAUAAGCCUGGGAAACUGGGUCUAAUACUGGAUAUGACUCCACGGUGCAUGUCGUGGGGUGGAAAGCCUUGUGCGGCUGAGGAUGGGCCCGCGGCCUAUCAGCUUGUUGGUGGGGUGAGGCCUACCAAGGCGACGACGGGUAGCCGGCCUGAGAGGGCGACCGGCCACACUGGGACUGAGACACGGCCCAGACUCCUACGGGAGGCAGCAGUGGGGAAUCUUGCGCAAUGGGCGAAAGCCUGACGCAGCGACGCCGCGUGAGGGAUGACGGCCU
rnacentral:rRNA from 1 species